UUCUUGAGACAACACAUCAUAAAACUCACAGCAGCACCAGUACCACACAUAUCCUUUCCUUCACUGGCUUUUCAUCCUCAGUUCUCCACACCAGCAUUUCCUAAGGGGUAUUCCAAGCAUGCACCCACAUGUGGACAGCAGUCUGCCAACAAGUAAAGAGAAACCAAGUUAAGUCACAGACAGGUGCAGCUGAAAUACCAAAUCACCCAUUGCCUUUUCUAGAGUUAUAUUUACUUGUGCACAGUGGGGACUAUAUUUCCUUACAAAACAAGAGAUAGUUACAUUUGCUGUUUUGAAAUAGCAGAACUGAACCUCAAAUGCAUGAGAUCAUGAAAUCUUAGUGGGGUAUGGUACUUGAAAAGGGACAGUGGGCAAGUUGUCAGAGAAAGUGGAGAUUUGUGAGUGAUGCUGGAUGUUGGAAGGAGAUAGGAAAUUUGAAAAGUAGAUACAUCUAGAUAUCCAGGAGUAAAUGUUUUGUGAUAGUGAUAGAAUCAGAAAGAAUUAGACUGGAAGGCAUUGUGAGUUUAUUUGGUCUUAGCUAUUGCCACAAUACAGAAGCAGUUCCAUUGGUAAAAGCUUAUCAAAUGGUGGCUUACAUGAUCCUGUGUAAUUUCAGAGAAGUCCCCUCCCCCAAUCUUCCAAGAUUGUGUAUUCCACUUUUUCACUGUCAUACCCCACUUAAGUGUUUUUCUUAAUUCCAUACCAACUGUCCUUUUCAUAGGGUGAGGUCUGAGAGGGGCAGCAAUGAUCACAUCAUCCUGUAUAUGCAUUUCUCUUUAACUUCAUUAAAGCUCUUGGGAAAGAUGUUAUUUCACCUGUGAUUGAAUCUACUUCUGAAAGGGAUGAGAUUAUAAAGUCUACCUACACUAUUUUACAGAUUAAGUGAAAGAGUUUCAAAGAUGAUGAGACUCACCCAAGGUGAAAUGGCCCACAUGGGAAAUCCAAAGCCAGAAGAACAAUCUUGUCUCCUAAUUAAGUGUUCUUACUUUGUAUAUGACAUAUAAGUGGCUAUUUCAUGAGUAUAUUAAUAUCAGAUGUACAUAACAGAAUAUAAGUUUUUUUCCUGCUCAUAAGAUUGAGGUAGCAUAGUAAAUAAUAGGUGUCUGGCCAAAGAAAGGAAAUUAUUUUGUGAGUCAUUGAAAAUUAAGCAGAAGAAAUAAAAGAAAUAUAUGAGGACAAAUUCCCUUUAGCCCUUAAAUGCAUUGGGUUGUUUUAGCCUCCUUUAAGAAAUGUUUUAUCCAGGAAAAUUGAAAGCUAUAUAGAUGAACUCAUUCUAUUUCACUCCUGAGUUCACUAUGCCAGUUCUUCUCAUGGUUCUAGUUCUAGACUGGCUCUAGGAUUUGGUAAGUGUGAGCUUUACAAUUGUUUAUCAUCGCUUAGUCUCAAUUCCCCAUCGGUAAAAUGUGCACAGCUUGGAGGUGUUCUUCUGGGAGAUGGACCCAGAUUUUUUUGGAUUUUUUAAUCCAGAAUUACUCUUUUAGGUAGGUGCUAUUGAUCCUAUUUUGUAGAUAAGGUAAUAAAUGAAGUUAAGAUAACCUUUCCUGAGGAUACAUUGCUAAUAAGUUGUAUACCAGAAUCCCAAGUCAGGUCUGUCUGAUUCCAAGGCAGAGUCUCUCCACCCAGUGUACUUGGAAAUGCACUUGACAUUUUCAUCCAUCUCUCAGAAGGUGAAAAUCUGAUAAAGUACGUGAUAUUUUUAGAAAAUUGCCAAGUGCUAUAUUGAUGUGAGGUAUUGUUGUUUCUUUUAUGUGUUCUUAGCCACUUAUUGGAAAAUAGCAGUACGAUCCAAGGCAUAAAUAAGUUUUAUAUUUUCUGCUUUACGGAUGAGGAAAUUGAGGCCCAUGGGAUAAGGAAGGAUAUCUACAUAGGCAGAAAGUAGCAGAGUAGUGUCAGUUCCUAGUCUAGUUCUAAAGCCCAUCAUCCAGUCUCUCUCCUUAUUCCUCUCUAGACCUGAGUUUUUAUUCUGGCAUAGGGGCUGAUUCCAUCACUAUGUACUGAUCCUGUGUUGGAACUUCCCAAUCAGCUAAGACACUCUAGCGAGGUAAGAGUAGGUUACUAAUAUGGAAAGAGGUAAUGACAUUGAUGAUAAUAUUUUUUAAAGACUAUAUGCAUACACAUAAUCAUUCAAACUUCAUGACAGUUGGAUAUAACACUAUAUGGUGGCCCUUCCAUACUUUAUGAAUUCAGAAACGGUCAUCGUGGUGCAUUAGGAUUUUGGCAGAGCACCCGCCUCAAGAGAAUACUCUGCAGCAGCUCUACCAUAAGGCACUAUGUCCAAUUUUCCUGUUGAAUCAUUCCAGCCAGGUUACUUACUACAUUUUUCUGGGCUUGUUCAUCUUCAUUUCCUAAGUUUGUUAAAAAAAAAACCCUAACAAUUAGGAUAUUCAGAGAAGCUCUUGUAUGUGUAAAUUUGCCUGUAAAUCUGAAUUCUGUAUGAGAU